rnacentral:lncRNA from 1 species
GUGCUGAGCGGCAAGGCACAGCCGCGGGAAGGUAAACGCAGAGCCGAGGGGCCGGCCAGCACCUGGCCCUGACCGCCCCCAGGCCACGCAUUCCUUGUUACUUCACCUCCUGGCGGAUGGCAACCGUCCCAGCUUCGUGGACUGUCAGGGUCACCGAGAGUCCAGGGUGGUGGGAGUCCCCCACACGAGCCACUGGCACACUCCCUGAAGCAGAAGCCACGGCGCCAAAGCUGUGGGCUCAGGGAACUUGCCCAUUACCUGGCAGCCCCGCAUCUGUGCCAAAAUAAGACACAACUCAGCCCAGCGGAGUGGACAGUGUCUGCGGCCAGCUCUGGGAUCCAGGGCCAGCUGAUGCUGGGAACAGCCGUCCUUGCCCUGUGCCUCUCCACACUGCGAGAGCCCCUGCAGCCCAGAGGGGCUCCACCUCCCCUGCAAUGGGGCUCAAAAGACAAUCCUUCUACGGGGCUGGCAGGACAGACGUGACAGGAACAACGAUGGCCUGCUCCUCCCGGAAGGUGGCUUCAAGAGCACUCAGGAGGUGACAGAUGCUGUCAAGACCGGCCCAGGGAAGGCACAGGGCAGGUUUCCCAGCACCCACCACGCGCCAGCGAGCACAGAGCCUUCGCCUGAACCAUCCAGGCACCGCGCCCUCCCCCUCCGCACACACAGGAGCCCAGCUGCGAUUCCCUCUGCUCCACAGGAGAUGCAGCGAGCACCAAAGAGCCUUCCUCCAGGAUUAAGCCUGAUGCAGAAGUGGUUACACUGACUACGGCAAGCCUCCUCAACGUGAAAACCCGGAGGACGAAAGCCAUUCGUGGAGACCCGCUGCUGCUGCGCGAGGCUUAAGUCUAUUUUCUCCUCAUGAUCUCAGUAUUUUCACGUCUCUAGUUUGCUCUACCCUAACAGUAAGAGCAGAACACACAUAACAUACAAAAUGUGUGUGACUGGCUUUAUGUGGUCAGGAAGGCUCUGGUCAACAGAAGGCUGUUAGUUAAGUUUGGGGAAAGUUAAAAGUUCUACACAAAUUUUCAACUGCACAGGAGGCUGGCGCCCCCAACCCCUGUAUUGUUCAAGGGUUUGCUGUAAUUUGUAUUAAAACACCAAGCCCCCUUACACCUGGGUGAGUCUCUCUCCCUGAACAGAUGUGACAACAUUACCCUCCGAAGACUCCCAGAGAGAAAGAGAACACUUCAAAUUCAGAUUUGUCUUCCACAGUAUGUUGAUAGAACAGGCCUUUACGUACGUCCUGGGCAAAUGCUCCUCUCCUUAUGUAAGUUAAUAACUCCACCAACCACUAGUUUGUGUAAUGACCAUUUAAAUAUCGAAUGGUGCCCAAGGCCCCUGAGAAGGGAUGUGAUUCAGCCCCUCCCCUCACGCAGGCACGUGGCCUCAGAGGCCCAGGAGGAGGAAGACAGGAAGUCAGCAGCAGGGUGGAAAAGGGGAGGGAAGCCCUUCAAGGGAAGCUCUCCCAGAACCUUCAAUCCCAGCUCCAAUUCCAAAGACAGGAACACACUCAUGACUGACAGGAUCAAACACCAAAGGCCUGUUUGCCUUGAGGGGGACACUGGGGAGGGUGGGGAAGGGGGAGUGAGGAGGAGCUGGAAGCAGCAGUCCUGUGUGGCACCAGGGGCUUGCUCCCACGUCGGCCCUGGGCACAGCCCCGCAUGGUGAUGAGGUGUGGCCUGCCUGCAGCACACGGCCAUGCUCCAGAUACCUUAGCUUUAUCUGAAGAGUUCUUUUGUUUGUUUGUUUGUUUGUUUGAGACAGCUGUGUUGCCCAGGCUGGAGUGCAGCGGUGUGAUCACAGCUCACUGUAGCCUCCGCCUCCUGGGCUCAAGCUAUCCGCUCACUUGAGCCUCCCAAGUAGCUGGGAGUACAGGCCCGUGGCACCAUGCCCGGCUAAUUUCUGUACUUUCUGUGGAGUCGGGUUUCGCCAUGCUUCCGAGGCUGGUGUCUGAAGGAUGCUUUACGGCAACCCCUGCCUUUUCCAGCUGAGCCCUGCCGGCUGUUGUGCGCUCCGUGGAAAGGGAGAAGCACGGUCUCCAGCGGCUGCGUCAGGAGUGGUGCCUUGUGCACACCUCACAGGGAGAGAAGUCUCCAACGGACUGAGCGGAGGAAAAAAGAAAAAAGGAGAAAAGGAAAAAGAGCUGCAUACCUGGCAGGCCUACUGUGUGCAAAGCCCUUGAGUGACACACCCUAUGACCCACAGCACUGUGGCAAUCCCAGACACAUGCUUGGUCACUGGGCUGUGGAACAUACAGGAGCCCCGUGCUCCGGAACACGGACCACCCGACAGGAGCACGGACACAGCAGUCGGGGCGACGUGGGUGCCUCACAGAAGAGGGAAAAAGCCAGGAGGGCGGCACGUGGGCGCAAAGUUCUCAGCUUCGUUAGUCAUCAAGAAAAUGCAAACUAAAACCAAGGUAAGUGUGAGGGUUACUACUGAGUUUCAACUUGACUGGACUAAAGGAUGUGUAACUGUUCCUGGGAGCAUCUUGAGGAAGCUGCCAAAGGAGAUUCACAUUGAGUCAGUGGACGGGGAGAGGCCGACGAACCCUCCAUCUGGGGGGGCAUGAUCUCAUCAGCUGCCAGCACGGCAGAUCUGCGGAAGCACUGGACUGGCUGAGUCUUCCAGCCUCCAUCUUUCUUCCAUGCUGGAUACUUCCUGCCCUCGAACAUCAGACUCCAAGUGCUUCAGCUUUUGGGUUCUUGGACCUACACCAGUGGUUUGCCAGGGGUUCUUGGGCCUUCGGCCACAGACUGAAAGCUGCGCUGUUGGCUUCCCGACUUUUGAGGUUUGGGGACUCGGACUGGCUUCCUGGCUCCUCAGCUUGCCAACAGCCUAUUGUGGGACUUCACCUCAUGACUGUGUGAGUCAAUACUCCCAAUAAACUCCCCUCCAUAUAUACAUUUAUCCUAUUAGUGCUGUCCCUCUAGAGAACCCUGACUCGUACACACAAGUACUGGUGAAGGGGUGGAGCAAAGGAAACUAGUCCACUCUCAUCAGGGCCAACUCACGCACCUGGCAAUCUCUACUCAUACUGAACACAAGUAUGCCCUAUAGCCCAGCAAUGCCAUUCUGGACAUACACGUCCAAAAGAAAAGCAGGUGCACAGACACAAGAGACACGCGUGAAGUGCUUCAUAGCAGUGGGGUUUGCGGCGUGCCACUAGGAUGUGAGGGUGGAACACUACACAGCAGAGGAGGCAAACACAUCACAACGUAAGUCAAUCUCACAAAUAAUGUUGAGGAACCCUGUCUCUACGAAAAGUUUAAAAAUUAGCCGGGCACUGUGGUGCAUGCUGGCGGUCUCAGCUACCAGGGAGGCUAAGGCAGGAGGAUCACUUGAGCCCAGGAGGUCGAGGCUGCGGUAAGCCAAGAUCAUGCCACUGUACUCCAGCCCGGGCGUCAGAGCCAGACCCUCUCCCCUCUCCCCUCUCCUCUCUCUCUCUCUCUCUCUCACACACACACACACACACACACACAGAGUAAUAAUGUUGGGGACAAAAUACAUGAUACAUUUACAUAAAUUUCUGAAAAUAGCAACUACAGUACUUAGGGAUGCAUACUUAGUUGACAAGACAUCCGCGAAGCGUGGAAAAUGGCUGCCUGGCGGAUGGAAUUGGAAGGGACGGUGAAACGGGUUCUAAGUGAAGGCUGCGGAGGCGUUUGCUUUGUGGUCUGCUAAGUUGUACAUUUUUACUGGGUGGACGUUUGGGUUCUCAGCUGAAGCAGUCUUUCAGAAGGUGACAGAGAUAAAGGCCACACUAUGUCCUUGCAAGGCCUCAGAGGUGUCACUGACCUUUUGCUGCAGGACCUGUUCUUCUCAGGGGUCUUGGCCUCCUAGAGGAAGGAGGGCCCCAUCGCCCUGCUAGGCCCUACUGGGACCCUCAAGGGCAUGAGCAUGACGACGGAGCAGCUUCAGGCUUCCCAGCAUGUCGGGCAGGCCUAGCCAUGCCCAAUACACACUGCAGGGCACCCACUGCAGAGUGCAACAGGGAGCUUGGAGCCUGACAAGGAGACACACAGCUCUGUGAAGACGAAGGGGAGGAGGAGCAAGGAAAAUGCUUCUUUUACACAGAAGGCGCCAAGAUACAAACUAAAUGUGAUGAAGACAAAGAAAAGCAGGCGUGUGUGUUAAAGGUACAAUUGCACAGCUAAAAAUAAUCAUGGCCGUAAGGCAGGGACGGCAGAUGGAGGGUGACUCAGCAGAUUUCCUCCAAGGCUUGCGAGGGUGGAAAUAAACACACGGAAGUGACCAGCAGAGAGAAACACGCAGGGAAGAGGAAGGUUAGAAAGGUCUGGGGUGUCACGCACCGUUGCUGGGAAUGCAGAGGAGGACGGUCUGCAGAAGGGGACGCAGCCACCGCCCCCCCCACCCCGCUGCAGAAGGUGCACACCACUCAGCAACCACCCACCCACUGCUCAAUCUACCCCCAAAUUACACAAAUAGGGCCAGGCACGGUGGCUCACCCCUGUGGUCCCAGCUACUCAGGAGGCCAAGGCAGGGGGGUCAUUUGGGCCCAAGAGUUUGAGACCCGGGCAAUGUAGGGAAACCUCAUCUUUACAAAAAUAUCAAAAAAUUAAUCAGUCGAGGUGGCACGCACCUGUAAUCCCAGCUCCUUGGGAGCCUGAGGCAGGAAGACCCCUUGGGCCCAGGAGGUCGAGGCUGCAGUGAGCUAAGAUUGCACCACUGCACUCCAACCUUGGUGACAGAGCAAGACCCUGUGUGAAAAAAACCCAAACCCCAAACCAAAAAAACACAACCGGGGCAUGAAAAAGUGCUUGGCCCAGAGCAGUGCCCCAAAGCAUCUCCUAAGAAAGGGGCUUAACACAAAGCCUGCCCGCCAGGGGCUGCUGGUGGCAUCCGGGCACAUCUGCACGUGGGGCUGACAGGACUAAGGAGGUUCCACAGACACACGACCAGGCGGAGACGCAGAGAAAAGCAGGUACAGCAAGAAGUCCACUGGGCAAUGCAGAGGUGGGGAAUGCAGAGGGGGAAUGCAGAGGUGGGGAAUGCAGAGGUGGGGAAUGCAGAGGUGGGAAAUGCAGAGGUGGGGAAUGCAGAGGUUGGAAAUGCAGAGGUGGGGAAUGCAGAGGUUGGAAAUGCAGAGGGCACCUACACUUCUGAUGACAGCGAAAUAUGUAAGGCUGGCUCAACCAUCAAUCAGUCAACGUCACCCAGCAUGCCAACAAGCUAAAGAAGAAACACCACAUAAUCACAACUGGUACAGAAAAUCAUUUGAUAAAAUUCAAAACUCACGAUAAAAAUUCCUAGGAAAACAGGAGUGUGGAGAAACAUCCUCAACACGAUAAAGGCCAACUACCAAGAACUCAAGGCUGACAUGAUCAAGAGUGACGUGCUGAGGGCUGCAGAUGGAAUGGCAUACAGGGCAGAAAGGAAGAAAUGGAAUAAAACUGUCUCUCUCUGAAGAUGGUGUAAGUGUCCAUGUCGAAAAUCACAAGGAAUCUAUCAAAAAUUCCAAGAAACUUUAUUUAAUAGAGUUCAGCAAGGACACAGAAUCCAAGAUCAACACACAAACACCUAUCCUAUUUCUGCAAUAAUCCUAUGAAAACAAGAAAUAAAGACAGUACCAUCCUAUUUCUGCAUGCUACCAAUAAUCCUAUGAAAACAAGAAAUACACAGUACCAUUCUAUUUCUACAUGCUAGCAAUAAUCAAAUAAAAACAUGAAAUAAAGACAGUACCAUUUAUAGGUGCUCCAAAUAAAAAUAAAUGCUUAGGUUCAUAUGGAACAAAACUAGAAAAACCUAUACACAUUUUAGGAAAAAACAGGAGAAAAUCUUUAGGACCUAGGGCCAAGAGUUGUCAGACAUGGCAACAAAAGCACAAUCCAUAAAAGAAAAAACUGAUAAACGACCUCGACAAAAUUAAAAACUUUUGCUCUUUGAAAGACCUAGUUUAAAGAGUGAAAAGACAAACUGCAGACAGGGAAAAAUAUCUGCAAAUCACAAGUCAGAUAGCAGGCUUGUAUGUAGAAGAAAGAAGUAUCAAACAACAAACAUUAAUUAGAAAAUAAGAGAAAACACACAGACAUUCAGAAGAGGUGCACGUGGUGAACAAGCCAUGAAGGCACUCGACAUCCUAAGCCGUUAGGGAAACACAACUUAAAGCCGCAAUGAGAUAUUACUGCACACCAAUCGGAACAGCUAAAAUACAAAAUACUCAAGGAUGCUGGAGAGGAUGUAGAAAAGCUGGAACUCUCUCGCUUGCUGUGGGAACGCAAAGUGGUGUUGCUGCUCUGGAGAACAGCAAGGCAGCCUUACGAACCUAAGUGUGCGCUUGCUGCCCCACUCAACAACUGCACCCCAGGACAUUUAUCUGAGAAAAUGGAACCUCAUGUGAACACAAAGACCUGUUUGCGAAUGUUCACAGAACUUUCACUGAUAAUAGACAAUGGGGAAAACCCUUCAACAGGUGUCCCAGCGGUGUCCUCGAAACUGGGUUUCAUUCACAUCACGGCAUCCCCUCAGCAGUAAAAGGGAUGGCUAUGGAUACACCCAAGCGUAUGGGUGAAUCUGCAGAGGCCCCUGCUGAGUGAGUGGACACACCCAGGCGUACGGGUGAAUCUGCAGAGGCCCCUGCUGAGUGAGUGGACACACCCAGGAGCACGGGCGAAAUCAGCGGAGGCCCCUGCUGAGUGAGUGGACACACCCAGGAGCACGGGCGAAAUCAGUGGAGGCCCCUGCUGAGUGAGUGGACAUACCCAGGAGCACGGGCGAAAUCAGCGGAGGCCCCUGCUGAGUGAGUGGACACACCCAGGCGCACGGGCGAAUCAGCGGAGGCCCCUGCUGAGUGAGUGGACAUACCCAGGAGCACGGGCGAAAUCAGUGGAGGCCCCUGCUGAGUGAGUGGACAUACCCAGGAGCACGGGCGAAAUCAGUGGAGGCCCCUGCUGAGUGAGUGGACAUACCCAGGAGCACGGGCGAAAUCAGUGGAGGCCCCUGCUGAGUGAGUGGACAUACCCAGGCGCACGGGCGAAUCUGCAGAGGCCCCUGGUGAGUGAGUGGACGCACCCAGGAGCACGGGCGAAUCAGCGGAGGCCCCUGCUGAGUGAGUGCACAAAGCCCACCUCUUAGGUCACUCCCUGUGGACUCUACUCCCACGGCUUCCUCCAGGACAAAACCACCAACCUCGGGGAAACAGGCGGGGACUCCGUGAGGAGGGCUCAUGUCUGUCGGUGGCUGUCGAGGAGGCUCUAGGACCAGGUAUCCAGGAUAAGACGGGGGAUCUGAAUCAAGUCUGCAGGGCGGUCACCCUGUCUUCCAAUGUCAUGUUCCCGGCCACUGGGCGAAGGUGGGGAAGGGCACAAGGGAUGCUGCUAUUUUUGCAACUUCCUGUGAGUCUAUAAUGAUUUCACAGAAAAAAGGAAAAAAAAGGGAGAAAAAACACAAGGGGUGUAAGGAGACUCCCAUGGGUGAUGAAUAGUCUAUACUUUUAGGUGAUGGUGUUUCCCCAACGGUAUACGUUUCCCAAAACCCACUGAGCUGUAAAUUUAAAAUGAGUGAAUUUUAUGUCAAUUGUAAUUCAAUAAAGCUGUUAAAAAAUUAACUAGAAACAGAAAAAAAUUUUAAUUCCCAUAGAAAGAAGGAAUAAAGUAAAAAAACAGUAUGAGGUAGGAGGUAAGCUUCCUUUCAUAAACCUUGUUUUGUGUAUUUGGCUUUGGAAUCAUGCAUUUUACAUCAUUUAAAACAUUAAAUAUAAAAUGAGACUGGGUGCAGUGAAUCCCAGCAGUCUGGGAGGCCCAGGCAGGCAGAUCACUUGAGGUCAGGAGUUCGAAACCAGCCUGGCCAACAUGGUGAAACUCUCUACUGAAAAUACAAAAAAUUAGCCGGGCAUGGUGGUGCGUGCCUGUAAUCCCAGCUACUUGGGAGGCUGAGGCACUGGGAGGCAGAGGCUGCCGUGAGCAGAGAUC